rnacentral:lncRNA from 1 species
AAAAACAAAAUGAAAAGGAAAAAAAAAACCUAAACUAUCUCUUGACCCUCUCCCCUACUCGGCCGACCAAUAACCCUCUGCCCCGCCACCAUACGCCACCGUGACCGGCGAUUGGCGACGAGCGAAGCCCAUUUUAACCUAUUUGAAACCACGUGUAGGGGGCUUGGCCAUUUUCAACCCCGAAAUCCCAUCUUGAACUUCAAUUUUGACGAAGAAGAUGAGGACUCCAAAGGCACAUCCCUUAUUUCCCUUUUUAUUUUCACAUGCAAAAGAAUCAGAAUGAAUAACCAAAGAAAAAAAAAAGAAAGAAAAACAAUCAGAAAAGAAAACAAAAUCUGAAAUCACCUUCAAAAUGAUUCUGAUAUUUGAUUGUCUUUGUAUUUGUAUCUAUUCGUAAAAAAUGUUCGCCUGUACACUCUUUUCUCUGGCUUUUUAUAGCCGAAUAAAACAAAAUGAAAUUACAAAAACUAUUUUUUUCUUCUUUUUUUUUUGUUAUUUCUCUACUGUAUUUCUUGCUGUUAUUUGCUGUGUUGUCGUUAUUUGGUUUCUUCUCGCAGGUUCGGCAUCGUACAAAGAGGACCUCGAAUGUGGCAAUGACGAGGCCGUUCGUGGGAGCUGCAUCAUGGGGAAACCUAGGGUUUCCAGAAGCUUCAACUUGCCCGGGCCAUUUGGGCCAGUUUUGAGAUUGGACCAUUGGGCCCGUAAAUUAGGUUUAGCUUGGGUUUUAAUUUGGGUCUUAUUGUAAAAUGGGUUCUAAAGUUUGGGCUAUAAAUUGUAUUUGGGCUAAUAAAGACUGUAUUUGGACUUUAAACAUUGGUUUUUUUAUUUAUUUUAUUCUAUUUAUUAUUUUUUUGGAUAAUUUAUGGGCCCGGUCGAAAUGGGCCUAUUACAAUAAUCAUUAACAUUAUCGAAUUGUUAUAUUUUUAUCUUUC